UUGAAGAUGCAGACUUGAAGAUUUCAACUUGCAUACUUGGAAGACUUGAAGUACUUCAGCCUGUAUACUUGGAAGAUUUGAAGACUUCAACU
rnacentral:pre_miRNA from 1 species